CAUCGGUGACUGUAUACUUAAUUGUCCAGUAAGAUAUCCAAAAACAAAAUAUACGGAGUGCUGAUAAAAAACGAGGAAGCGCGCCAAGUGGUAGUUUUGCGAAGCGUGUGCGUCGUGACCUUUCGAACUUGCGGUGAUGGCGACGGCGGAAGCUUGCACUGACGGCGGCACCGUCAUUUCGCGCCUUUUCUCUCUCAUCGAAAAAUUUCUCCCCCGUCCUUUCACCGAACUGGAGCUGAUUACGUUAACCAAAGAGAAAGAGACAGAGCUUCUUAUUUCUCUCUCCCAGACUGUAAACAAAAUUCGAUGCUGGACGGAUGGACAACUACAACAAGGGAGUAUCAGAAGUAGCGACAGCCGGAACUCCGAUUUGCAUUGUGGAGAUGACGAACUUCUGACCAAGAUAAUUGCAAAUUUGGUCUCAUUACUGAAUGCCAAGAGUCAAUAUGUUCGUCAUAUGGUGGGAAACAUAUUUCUAGUCAUCUCGGAGUUUCUUCUACCCUAUGGAGGCAGCUGGGACGAGUUUAUUCAUCUGUUAUGUGUUUGCUUUGAGCUUGCAAUGUGUAAUAUCCUACGACAUUUGCCACAAUCUUUGGUGACUGAAGCUGACAACUCAAAGUCUAUUGUAUCAAACAUGAAACUUGUCUUGGACAAUUCAACCUGGAAUGGUAUAGCUGAAAUUUUACGUAUCUUACGGGGGAUAGUAAAACAAUUGAAGGGUACAGAUGAUGAUGAAUCUGUGGGAGUAUUGCUGGAUUCUUUGAGUAUCUGUCUGACGAAAAUUCCUUGGGAUUUACUGAAUGGAAUUCACGACAGUGAUGUCAAAGUUGGAGGUUCGUCUGGUGAGGCAGCAGCAAAACUCUUGUUUAUGGGGAAUCUUGUUCAGCUACUCUGCUCUGUAGUUAGUGUUAUUGGGUAUGAAGACUCGGCUGGCUCUGACCAUAAAUUGACUAUUCUCCAUGAGACCUGUGAUAUUAUUCCUAGACUGCUAGUAUGGUGCCAUGUUGAAGAAUGGAGUCAUAUCCUUCAAUAUUUCCGGCACAAAAUUUUGAUGUUGAUGACAAAACUUAGCAUUCAUAUGCAACUUGAUUGUUCAGUUCUCAUUCUGUGGUUGCAACUACUUCAUGAAUAUUAUCAAGAUUUACUCUCAAGUUCCAUUUCUGAGCUUGAAUGUGGUCAAAAUGAUACUUUGGAUGGCUCUCCUUUCUUGUUGUCUCUUGAUGACCAAGAAGUUUGUCAACUGUCUUCACACCAUCUACAAAGGAAAUCUGUUUUUCUUUUCUUAAGAUGGACCAUGAGCUUGAUUAACCUCGGAAAAACAUCUGACUUCAAAUGUACUUGUGCAAGGCCAAACUCAUUCAUUGAAUCUGAUUUGAAAACAGUCAAAGAUUGUUUUGCCAAAAAGAAGGGGCUACUUCAGUUGCAUGGGUGGCUUCAGGGUCAUGUUCCUUCCAACGUGUUAUCAGAAAAUGGGAUAAAUCUUGAUAAGUGCAUCAAAUUUGCUGCAUCCUUCAUCAGAUUUUACAUGCAAGAGGAUGAUAUGUUAUUUGAAGUACUCCUGCAGAUGUUCACUAUACCUUCAUGGGCUGAUAGACUGUUUUCUGAACAGGGGAGGGCUUGUCAUGACACUGAAGACGACAUUCUUUUUUACAUGUCAAAUCUUUUUAACCCUUUGCUUCUGUUUCAUGUAUUUCUUGCGGAAUUGCAAUAUGAUCAUCAACUGCUUCUUGAUUAUCUUAUUUCGAAAGACGUAGGAGGGAAAUGUGCCGAAUAUCUGUUAAGGUGCUUGCGUAUUGUGUGUGAUUCGUGGAAACUAUUUGUCGAGUACUCUGUCAGAGAAAGUCUUGUUUGCCAAGGAUUUUCUCAAGAGGGUUGCAAGAGAAGAAGGGCAUCUCAUGAGGAUUCUUCUGAUGGGCGGAUUGAUACGACGGGGCAAAGUAAGCUUGGCUUGUUGUCUGAGCAAAACCAAGGAGAGUUCAAUCUGGGCAGCAAGUUUUUCGGGAGUAGAUACCUGCAAGUUGAGGGUGCCAAAGGAUGCUUGCUUUCUCUGAAAAGCGCCUUGAGAAAGCUUCAUAAGAGGAAGUUAUUUCCAUAUAAUCCAGAAGUGCUUAUAAGACGUUUAAAUAGGUUUGAGGAGCUCUGUGAUCAACUUGUUUAGACUCUAGCACUCUUAAGACAGAAGAUAUAGGCAUCUACGUCGUUUGUGCAGCCCCUUUGUUCAUUUGCAAAUGUGGUAAUUCUAAGCUGCAAGAAGGAUUUGAUGUUCUUGGAAACAUUGGGUGGAUAAUUUCAUAAUUGAAGAAUCAGCUUUUGUGCCAUGGUAUACAGUAUCCUUGAUGCUUUCGUUUGCACUUACUGCCUGGAAUGUUGUCUAGACGGAGGUGGAACCAAAGCAGUAUUCAUGUUCAACCAAUUUGGAUCUUACUUAGCUUCGAAUGCGGGAGGCUUGUAUUCAAGUUUCAACUUCUUAAAGUGAUCUACGGAUCAUGUGUUGAUGGAGUUGGGGAAGAAAGGAUGUCUAUAUAUACUCCUACGAGAGCGUUGCUGUCAAGGCCUCUCCUGGGGAGUCGUAUGUCAGACUUGUGUAUUGAACCAGAAUUCUUCAGGAACUGACUCAGCAAACUUCAACAGUGUAAGCAAGAAAUGACAUUUUAAACCUAGCGUAUUAUUACUACUUUUCAUAUAAUUUCGGUAUCCAUAAAAGAUGCGCUUUUUCUUUUACAAAUCAAAUGAUGGUUUGGUGUUAAGCGCAAAGGCAGUGAAGAAAACUCCUACUGAUAUAUUUUUGUGAGGAAUUUUCCUUAUAAAGGGCAAUGAGCUAAUGACCCUAAGACCCUUCCUCCAAGACUAUUCCCAACCAGAACGACCUUAUCUUUGGACAACAAUGCCAUCAAUACAAGGGAAGGCUUGUAAUACUCUUUAAAGGCAUAGAUCUUAUCUAUUGGCUUCAAUGCUUCAUGUUCUUGUUGAUUCUGGAGGCUACCAUGAGGUCCAUGACCCUUAUCAAGGGCUAUUUAGUAAUUUCUCUUAUGAUCA